CCUCGCUCCCCGCAGCCGCGGAACGGGGCGUUCUUUCCGCAUGAGGCGAACCUUUCCGUCGCCUGGAAACGGGGAAAGCCUCUGCCGCUGCCCAGCCACCGCCCGGUUCCUGCUCCGCUGCCAGCCCCAGCUCAGCAUCCCGGCCACCUCCUCGGCCACGUGGUGGGGUGAGGGUCCUCGUCAGCAGCCGAGGAGGUGGCCGCACAGUCCCGCCUGCCUGCCAUUCGUUCCACCGACGUUGAGAGGACCUCGGAGCCUGGCUCUGGGGCCAGGCUGCCACUAUUCGAGUUCACGCUCUGCCUGUCACUUCCUGGCUGCUUGAGUGUCCUGGCAACAUGGCGGCCGGCUGCCCCCAGGGUGAGCGAUCGAAGGAGGAAGGCAGAAAUCACAUCUUCCAUGGCCGAGCCACAGAAGCUGCACACUGCCCUUCCAGCAAUAUCCUGGUGCUGCCCAGGGUGGGAGGGGCGACACAAGACCAGAGGCCCGGGCGGGCCCCACGGGGCUUCUGGGAGCUGGCUAUGAUGGCCAGGGUGAGCAUCGGGAUUUUGUCCUGAGAGGGACGGGAACCUUCUGAAAUGGUGUCUUUGGUUGAUCCGGGUACUUGCCUAACUGCUGUACGUAGCAGCAAGAUGAUCGGAAUCUUAGCACCAUUAUUGAGUGCUUACUGUAUACCAGGCAUGGACUUAGUGCUUCAUUAGACUCGGUGUCAUCAGAUCCUCGUUUCUCCCUAAGAGGUGGGUAUAGCUCCAUUUUACAGACGAGGAAGCCGAGACUUCCCGGAAGAAGUGUUACCCAAGCGAGAUGAAGAGGCCAGUGGGAUUACAAGCAACAAGAGAAGAGUGGGGCUGGGAAGAGAGUGAAAGCAGAGAGGGAGGACACGGAGAAUUGGACUCUGGGCAUUCCUGGAGGGCAGGGACCCGGGGUUGAAGGGUGGAAGAGGGGAGUGAUGAGGCUGGAAGGGGUGGGCUGGAUUUUAUCUUUGUAGGCCACAUUUGGGAUUCUGGACCUUAUCCAGAAGGGAAUUAUAAUCCAGUGGAGGGUUUUAAGCAGGAUCAGAUGGGCCUUUAGAUUCUAAAGUUCCAGAAAGACCAUGCAGCACAGAGUGGACAGAGCAGCCAGGAAACCAUGGGAGGCCCCAGGAGGGAGACGUGGGGGGCCUCGGCAAGACUGGUAAUGUGACGAGGAGGAGAGGGGGCUGGAUUCAAGAGGUUUUUAGGAGGGAAGUGUGGCAGUGGGAGGAGAGGCCAGGGUGGGGAUGUGCCCGCCGGGUCCCUGGCUGAGGCAGCUGGGGGAUGGAGGCCCUGGCCACAGCCCACCAGGCCACACUGGUUACGGUCUCCUCAGACAGACCCGGCUGCUGCUGUCAUUCACUGCCACUCCCUCAGCCUUGUGGUGGCCUUGUCAACCAAGGAGAAGGCCAGGCCUGUGUCUUCCAGCUGUGUCCCCCUCCACUCCCACCGCCCAGCCAGAGACAGGUCCAUGGCAUAAGCCGGUAAGUGAACAGAUAUUUGAUGGGGGAGCUUCUCAGCGCAGUUGAGAUGGCCCAGGAGAGCCCGGUGGGUGAGAACCUGGACUCUAGAGCCCAGUGGUUGGAGUUCAAAUCCCACCUCUACCACUUACUGGCUGUGCCACCUGAGGCAAGCCACAUAACCUCUCUGUACGGCAGUUCCCUCCUCUGGAAAAUGAUAACCACAGGGUUGUGAGGAUUCAGUGAGUUCAUGCCUGCCAGGCAGCAAGUGCUCAAUACAUGUUCACUGUGAUGGGGAGAUCGGUCAACCUCCCAAUCUGGUGCUCCGACACCUGUGUCCAUCCCACUUCCCGUGUUUGAGGCCGUGGAAGUCCAGACCGAGCUCAACCGCCAGCUACCUUUCAGCCAGGAAAGGGUCAUCGGUCAAGGUGACCGACAGGUGGAGAUGACACUUGGGCUGUAAAUGCAGCGAGAGGACCAGCGUGGCGCCCUCCUCGAAGCUGCCCAGGUCCUUUUAAAUAUUUCUGGGGUUGAAUCAGUUGCUUGGGCAGCUCCCGUAAGUGGUGCCUCAGCAGAAGUACCUGCGUGUCUUAUUUAUGAGGCUGUCAGAGGGACGGGAGGCUAAUAAAAGGCUUCCCCGUGCGUCCAGGCCUCCACCAGCCCCGACGUCUUGCAGCCUCCCCGGGCCCUUCUCCCCACGGCCACCUGGAUGCCUCCUCUUCGCUUGAUUCAGCUUCUCUUUCUCUUUUUCCUCAUGCGCUGGCGCGUUCCCACCCCAGCUGAGUCUCUAUUUUUGGGAGUUUUCAUGGAGAAUUCAGUGGGCGGAAGCUCCCCACCCACCCCGCUCGGAGCAUCCCUUAAAAAAAGGGAGAGUGCUCGAGAGAAGUGAAAAACAGUGGGUGGUUCAGUUCAAAAGGACAAAAUAUUUCUUGCCCUGGCACCGGGAGAGGAAAGAAAUUGUCUGAGGAACCGAAGAACAGCUAAACUAAGAAGCCGAGAGCUGUGGCCCAGAAGGGCAAAUUAGGUGACUCAGCUGCGACUCCCCGGGCUCCAGGCCUCGUAGUAUUAAUGUGCUUUAAAAGGGAAAAAUGCUUAACUGUGACAAAGAGUGGGUUCUAUAAAAAUGUGCCUAAUGCUGUUCCACGGACUUCCAAGAGGCGUCCCCCUCUCAGCAGCACUGAGCACCUGCGGCAAUGUGGACUCACCCCCGAGGCCCCAGCCUGGGUGGGACGGAGUCUAAAAUUAUCCCCGAUAAUGAGUCUGGCAGAGGAGGGCCCAGCGUGCUCGUUUCCUGCCUCGCUUCUGGCCUCAAAGACCUCGGCUCCCGGGGGGCCUCCGGGAGGCAGGGGCGGUGGUGCUGAGAGCAUGGGCUUCGUUGCCAAACAGAGCUGGGUUCAAAUCGGGGCUGGCUGUGUGAGCAUCAGCCCACGGCCCUCAGUCUGCUCGUCUGUAAGCAGGGCUCGCGGCGUCAAGCUCAGUGGGGAGGUGACGCGGACUAGAUUUUGCAGAGAGCCUGCUUCACGCCCUGGCCGUGGCUUUUGCUCAGUAAAGGCAGGCCUGGAGGUGAAGGGCAUGGACUGGAGGGUGGAACAGCCUGGAUUCUGCCUUAUCACUACUCACUCUGGGAGUGUGGGAACGUGGUUUUUAAACAAUAAAUACAUUUUAAGCAUUUAUUACAUGCCUUACUGUUCUUAGCAUCACGUCGUUGCAUCAGCUCUAAGGAAGGCAUUAAUAGUGUCCCCAUUUCACAGAACGGGUGAGUGACUCCGUGGGAGAGCCGAGAAUCUGAUUCUAGAAGCUGCACUUUAUCCUGCCUCUCAGGUUGUCUAACCCAGUGCUGCCCAAGAGAACUUUCUGCAAUGAUGGAAACGUUCUAUUCUGCCCUGGUAGCCACCAGCCACGCG
ensembl:lncRNA